UCGAGCGGACAGAAGGGAGCUUGCUCCCGGAUGUUAGCGGCGGACGGGAGAGUAACACGUGGGUAACCUGCCUGUAAGACUGGGAUAACUCCGGGAAACCGGAGCUAAUACCGGAUAGUUCCUUGAACCGCAUGGUUCAAGGAUGAAAGACGGUUUCGGCUGUCACUUACAGAUGGACCCGCGGCGCAUUAGCUAGUUGGUGGGGUAAUGGCUCACCAAGGCGACGAUGCGUAGCCGACCUGAGAGGGUGAUCGGCCACACUGGGACUGAGACACGGCCCAGACUCCUACGGGAGGCAGCAGUAGGGAAUCUUCCGCAAUGGACGAAAGUCUGACGGAGCAACGCCGCGUGAGUGAUGAAGGUUUUCGGAUCGUAAAGCUCUGUUGUUAGGGAAGAACAAGUGCGAGAGUAACUGCUCGCACCUUGACGGUACCUAACCAGAAAGCCACGGCUAACUACGUGCCAGCAGCCGCGGUAAUACGUAGGUGGCAAGCGUUGUCCGGAAUUAUUGGGCGUAAAGGGCUCGCAGGCGGUUUCUUAAGUCUGAUGUGAAAGCCCCCGGCUCAACCGGGGAGGGUCAUUGGAAACUGGGAAAACUUGAGUGCAGAAGAGGAGAGUGGAAUUCCACGUGUAGCGGUGAAAUGCGUAGAGAUGUGGAGGAACACCAGUGGCGAAGGCGACUCUCUGGUCUGUAACUGACGCUGAGGAGCGAAAGCGUGGGGAGCGAACAGGAUUAGAUACCCUGGUAGUCCACGCCCGUAAACGAUGAGUGCUAAGUGUUAGGGGGUUUCCGCCCCUUAGUGCUGCAGCUAACGCAUUAAGCACUCCGCCUGGGGAGUACGGUCGCAAGACUGAAACUCAAAGGAAUUGACGGGGGCCCGCACAAGCGGUGGAGCAUGUGGUUUAAUUCGAAGCAACGCGAAGAACCUUACCAGGUCUUGACAUCCUCUGACAACCCUAGAGAUAGGGCUUUCCCUUCGGGGACAGAGUGACAGGUGGUGCAUGGUUGUCGUCAGCUCGUGUCGUGAGAUGUUGGGUUAAGUCCCGCAACGAGCGCAACCCUUGAUCUUAGUUGCCAGCAUUCAGUUGGGCACUCUAAGGUGACUGCCGGUGACAAACCGGAGGAAGGUGGGGAUGACGUCAAAUCAUCAUGCCCCUUAUGACCUGGGCUACACACGUGCUACAAUGGACAGAACAAAGGGCUGCAAGACCGCAAGGUUUAGCCAAUCCCAUAAAUCUGUUCUCAGUUCGGAUCGCAGUCUGCAACUCGACUGCGUGAAGCUGGAAUCGCUAGUAAUCGCGGAUCAGCAUGCCGCGGUGAAUACGUUCCCGGGCCUUGUACACACCGCCCGUCACACCACGAGAGUUUGCAACACCCGAAGUCGUUGAGGUAACCUCUAUGG
rnacentral:rRNA from 1 species